UAUUUUGACUAUACGAAGGUAUUGAAAUAAGGCUUUUAAUGAGUGCUAAGAGAAUGGUUUAACGGGGAUUUUCUUUUUUUUUUCUUAAAUUAAAAGUUAAUUUAAAAAUGAAAAAGUUUUUAUAAGUUUUUAGGACAAGAAGACCCUAUGAAUUUUUCAAAAAGUGAUGUCAUUAAUAUUUUUUGAAAAAUUAUUGAUAUUAUUUUUGUUGAUUGGGGUGAUUUUUAAAGAUUGAGAAUCUUUAAAUUGAUUAUGAAAAAGUUCCAACUGUGUUGAUUAUAUGAGUUAAAUACUCUAGGGAUAACAGCGUAAUAAUUUUGGAUAGUUCAAAUAGAUAAAAUAGUUUGCGACCUCGAUGUUGGAUUAGGAUUCUUUUAUAAUGCAGAAGUUAUAAAAAGUAGUUUGCUCAACUUUUUAAUUCCU
rnacentral:rRNA from 1 species